AGGUAUCGAGCUGAUACAUAAAAACGUGUUACAUAUUACAUACUUAGAAUUUCUAAGACACAAGGAUUUCAUUUCAUUUAUCACACCAUAAAUUUUACAACCUAUCUUUUACAAUUAUCACACAAGUUCCUAGCCCACAAUUCUAAAACACCAUCUGCUAACACAAAGAAAGACAAAAAAAGAAAAAAAAAAAAGGGAUAGGAGGCGUGUGUGUGUGAAGCUGCUACAGCUACAGCCGCAUCCCCCCUCCAAUCCCCUUCUCCCUACACCCUACCUCCUCCUUAGCACACUCAUUCCCCCAAUCCCCUUCACUCUACCUCCUUAGCACACUCAUUCCCCCAAUCCCCUUCACUCUGCCUCUGUAUCUAUUCUCUAGCACACUCAAAUUUGCACCCAACAUUCCUCCGUUUAGCCUCAAACUUCAUCCAGCAAAUCACUUUCAUUCUCUUGCAUUCCACAAAUAGAAUCCACCGAAGAGUAAGGAGAAGCUGUAUUCAUUGUUCUGCCAAAACUCAAGGGGAAUCGAUAGAUGAAGCAGAGUCAGAUUUGGCUUAGCUUUUAGAAGGGGUAGGCCUACUGCCUUGCUGCCCCAUCGGACUCCGAAAACAGCAGUUUCAACGGUGUCGAGCGGUGAAGGGCGGACGACUCCCAACCCCAGCUAUGGCCCCUCGUCGAUUCUGGAGUAGCGGCAGCGGCUCGGUGCGCGGCAGCGGUGGAGUUUCAGGCGGAGCGACACCGGCUUGAGGUGACAAUGUCGCCGGAGAUUUCUGGGGCGGCGGCGGCAAUUUCUAAUUUGGGAGAGGAGAGUGGCGGGUCUGUUUCGGAGAGAAGAAUAGAGAGGUUGAGGGAAACGAGGUGGUGGCUGGAGACGACUUCUGGCGAAGUAGCAGCCGCGGCAGCCGGAGAUUCGAGAAGAGGGGCGUAUUGGCAUGAAUCGAGAGACAAAGACAGAGAGAGAUAGCUGCAGUGCGUGAGUAGAGACUAGAGAGAGUGAGAGAGAGGGACAAGUUUGAGGGGGGGAUUUGGGCCUCCUCAUUUAUUUUACUUGGGCCAUUUUAAUUUUAAUUUUCCCUUGGGCUGCCUAAUUGUUUCAUUGGGCCCAGAAUUAUUUAUUUAGCAGUUGGACCAUCUGCAUUGGGCUCAAACUUAAUUAUUUUACUUGGGCCUUCACCCAGCCAGAUUAUUUUGCAAA